rnacentral:tRNA from 2 species
CGGAGAGUAGUAUACCGGUAGUACACCUGGUUUGGGACCAGGUAGACCGGGUUCGAUUCCCGGCUCUCCGACCA